GCGGAUUCCAGUAACUCUGAGCAUAUACAUGAAGUUUCAAAACAAUGUAAAUGCCAGUCGUUGCUGGAAUUCG
rfam:Caenorhabditis remanei strain PB4641 contig13.13, whole genome shotgun sequence.